rnacentral:rRNA from 1 species
CAGCAGCCGCGGUAACACCGAGGAUGCAAGCGUUAUCCGGAAUGAUUGGGCGUAAAGCGUCUGUAGGUGGCUUUUCAAGUCCGCCGUCAAAUCCCAGGGCUCAACCUUGGACAGGCGGUGGAAACUACCAAGCUGGAGGACGGUAGGGGCAGAGGGAAUUUCCGGUGGAGCGAUGAAAUGCGUUGAGAUCGGAAAGAACACCAACAGCGAAAGCACUCUGUUGGGCCGACACUGACACUGAGAGACGAAAGUUAGGGGAGCAAAUGGGAUUAGAUACCCCCGUAGUCCCUGUCUCUUAUAC